UUGAUUUUAUGCUUGCAUAAAUGAUUUUUGGAUUCGGAGCGAGUGGCGAACUGGUGAGUAACACGUGGGUAACCUGCCCCGAAGCGGGGGAUAACAUUUGGAAACAAGUGCUAAUACCGCAUAAUUAGUUGGAACCGCAUGGUUCCAACUUGAAAGAUGGCUCUGCUAUCACUUUGGGAUGGACCCGCGCCGUAUUAGUUAGUUGGUGAGAUAAAAGCCCACCAAGACGAUGAUACGUAGCCGACCUGAGAGGGUAAUCGGCCACAUUGGGACUGAGACACGGCCCAGACUCCUACGGGAGGCAGCAGUAGGGAAUCUUCCACAAUGGACGAAAGUCUGAUGGAGCAACGCCGCGUGAGUGAUGAAGGUUUUCGGAUCGUAAAACUCUGUUGUUAAAGAAGAACAAGUGUUAGAGUAACUGUUAACACUUUGACGGUAUUUAACCAGAAAGCCACGGCUAACUACGUGCCAGCAGCCGCGGUAAUACGUAGGUGGCAAGCGUUGUCCGGAUUUAUUGGGCGUAAAGCGAGCGCAGGCGGUUUUGUAAGUCUGCUGUGAAAGCCCUCAGCUCAACUGAGGAAGUGCAGUGGAAACUACAAAACUUGAGUACAGAAGAGGAAAGUGGAACUCCAUGUGUAGCGGUGAAAUGCGUAGAUAUAUGGAAGAACACCAGUGGCGAAGGCGGCUUUCUGGUCUGUUACUGACGCUGAGGCUCGAAAGCAUGGGUAGCGAACAGGAUUAGAUACCCUGGUAGUCCAUGCCGUAAACG
rnacentral:rRNA from 2 species